AUGCUUCCAACCGGCUGUGUCGUCGUCAUUGCGCUCCUUGUCCUGCUCGGAGACGCGGCGACCGCCGUCGCUGGCAUCCGCGUCGACCCUGCCAUGAUGAUCCGGCAGCCGUUGGAUUCUAUCCCUACGUUCCGCGAGGCGCCCGCCUUCCGAAACGGCGCCGAGUGCGCCGGCGGUGACAAGGUGAACGUCGCCAUGACGCUGGACGCUAACUACCUCCGCGGCACCAUGGCCGGCGUGCUCUCCAUCCUGCAGCACACAGCGUGCCCGGAGAACGUGGUGUUUCACUUCCUCGCCGCCCGGACGGACGGUGACCUCGUCGCCAUGCUGCGCGCGACCUUCCCUUACCUGGACCUCCGCGUGUACCGAUUCGAUCCGUCGCGCGUCCGGGGACGUAUCUCCCGGUCCAUCCGCCACGCUCUGGACCAGCCGCUCAACUAUGCGCGCAUCUACCUUGCCGACACGCUUCCCCCCGACGUGCGCCGGGUGAUCUACCUCGACUCCGACGUGAUCGUCGUCGAUGACAUCCGCACGCUCUUCUCCGUGGACCUCGCGGGCCACGUAGUGGGCGCACCGGAGUACUGCCACGCCAACUUCACCAACUACUUCACGGACACAUUUUGGAUGGACCCGGCGCUCAGCGGGACGUUCCACGGGCGGCGCCCGUGCUACUUCAACACCGGCGUGAUGGUGAUGGACGUGGACCAGUGGCGCACCGGCGGGUACACGAGGCGGGUGGAAGGGUGGAUGGCCGUGCAGAAGCAGAAGAGAAUCUACCACCUCGGCUCUCUGCCGCCGUUCCUUCUGGUGCUCGCCGGGGACAUCCAGGCCGUGGACCACCGGUGGAACCAGCACGGGCUCGGCGGCGACAAUGUCAAAGGGCGGUGCCGGGGCCUGCACCCGGGACCCAUCAGCCUGCUGCACUGGAGCGGCAAGGGAAAGCCGUGGCACCGGCUCGAUGCCCGGCGGCCGUGCACGGUCGACUACCUCUGGGCGCCCUACGACCUCUACCGGCCAUCGUCGCCGGUACUCGAGGAGUGA
rnacentral:rRNA from 1 species